UAAGAGAAAGGUGACAGGAGCGAUCCA
rnacentral:sRNA from 1 species